rnacentral:rRNA from 1 species
AGGAAUAUUGGACAAUGGACGCAAGUCUGAUCCAGCCAUGCCGCGUGAAGGAUGAAUGCCCUCUGGGUUGUAAACUUCUUUUAUAGGGGAAGAAGGAUACUUUUUUUAAGGUAGUUGACGGUACCCAAUGAAUAAGCACCGGCUAACUCCGUGCCAGCAGCCGCGGUAAUACGGAGGGUGCAAGCGUUAUCCGGAUUUACUGGGUUUAAAGGGUGCGUAGGCGGGCAUGUAAGUCAGUGGUGAACUACCGGAGCUUAACUUCGUAACUGCCAUU